GAAAAUCCAAAAACCAAAUUUAUUCAUAGACCUAAAUAUCUUUAUUGAGAAAAUACUGUGUAAGAUGUUGCGGCCUAUAAGCUUCUUUAACUAGGCAAUGUUUAAAAAGCAUUGACAUUUCUUUUCCAGCUUUAUUGAAAUAAAAUGGACAUAUAACACAGUCUUGAAGAACUCCUUUCAGCAUUUCUUAUAAGGCAAGUCUAGUGGUGAUCAACUCCUUCAGCUUUUGUUUGUUGGGAAAAUGUUUAUCUCACCUUCAUUUCUGAAGGACAACUUUGACAGCAUUAUGUUGUAGGUACUUCAUGUGCUAUUACAGAAGAUUUAUUACCAUUAAAAAACUACUUCUUCAAAUGAGAAAACUGACAGCUGAGAGUUUGAAGAAAUCUGCCAAUUUUACAAGUGAAUAAAUGUUAGCGCUCACAUUCAAACUCAGAACUUUAGGAUUCCUUGGAAAUCCUUCAACAUGCUCCUUAGGGAUGACGGAUACCUACUGGGUGGAGUCCUCUCCUUCUUGAGACAACUUUUCAACCAGAGUAGCGAUUGUAGAUGAAUUCCUAACCCCUGGUACCUGUGAAUGUGACUUUAUUUGGAAAUAGGAUCUUUGCAGAUGUAAUCAAGUUAAAAUGAGUGUCGGCCCUAAUCCAAUAACUGAUAUCCAUAUAAGAAGAGGGAUAUUUGGACUUAGACACAGAGGAGACACAGUGGGGAGAACACCAUGUGAAGAUGGAGACAGAAAUUGAAGUGAUGGAUCUAAAAGCCAAGGAAUACCAAAGAGGAAUGGCAAACACGAGAAGCUAAGAGAGAAGCAUGGAACAGAUUCUUACUCAGGGCCUCCAGAAGGAACCAACCUACUAACACCUGGAUUUCAGAAUUCUAGUCUCCAGAACUGUGAGAGAAUAAAUUUAUACCAUUUUAAGUGACUCGGUUUGUGGCAUUUUGUUAUGGCAGUCCUAGAAAACUAAAACAGUAGCUUUCCUUUGAUUUGUCUUAUGUCUGCAUAACAUGACACUUGCAGGAAGAAUUGACUUACUUGUGAAAUGUUUAGAAACCGUGACUCUCUUCCAUUGAUGGCGGUGGUAGGUGAGGAAAAGCAG
rnacentral:lncRNA from 1 species